UAAAUAAGUGUCUGCUUAUAAUUAAAAUAUAUAUAAUUUCAUCAUAAACUACAAAAUAGAAUGCAUAUAUAUUAUGAAGUAUUGGAACCUAAUGAAAACAUGUGAAAUAAAGAUAUAAUGUGUGUUCAUUUAAGUAUGCAACAAGCAAUGGUGAAGCUAGAUAGGGGUGAAGGGGGGCGGCCGCCCCUCAGCUCACCAGAAAACAAGGCCAGGAGCGAGUCCUAAGCUCAUUUGGUUUAGCUGGAAACUGGAAAUUUGAAAUAGUGGUUCUGCUGCGCAACUCCUCCUGCGUGCAGGGUUUGUUUUCAUAAAAAAAAAAAUUAUUAUUUAAGUAAACGUUGUCGUUUUACUUCUCCAUUUAAAAAAUAAAUAAAGUAUUGUGGGUGGGGACCAGUCAUUACCCCGUCCCUCCCCAAUUCCCAUCCCCCCACUUUACCAAACACGCAAAUCCCUCAUCCUUCCCAAUUUUAGGUAAAUUUUUGUUAUUUCAAACCCUAAUUGAUUAUUUAAUACAAAUUUUGUUUAAUUGAAAUAGAAUUAUAGAGUAAUACCGUAAUAUGGUUAUUGGCUAUUGAAUAUGAAAUGAAUUCUAUGAUUAUUGAUGAAUGAAAUUAUUGUUUAGGAUAAAAAUUGAAUUCUUGAAUAUUGACUAAUGUAUACGAUUAUUCAUAUUGAUUAAUUGAAUUGUUGCUCUGAUUAGUUAUGAGUCAUAUUAGUAUAGUCUACUCUAGGCUUAAGUAUCUAAGAAUUUUUUUUUUUCUCAUUACACAGUUGCAAAUGGAUCAAUGGUUGAUUGAUAACAUGAUUGUUUACAUUGAGAGAAAUGUAUUUGCUUUUAUUGAUAAUGAGCUUAUUAUACGACGUUUUCAUGACAUGAAAUCUUGCCUGUAACAAUUAUAAUUUGUUUGUAUUGAUAAAUUAUAGAAGACAUUACUAUAUAAAAGGAUUUGGUUGUUGCCAUUUUUUUAACUUUGCACUCUAUAAGUUCGCCCCUCACUCCGACCAUUCCUGGCUUCGCCAUUAGCAACAAGUCUCUUACAAUUUAUGCAAAAUGAAAGUUAUAUAUUUUCUAUCUAAAUGAGUUGCAACCUAGGCAGGUGCCUAGGUGGGUUUGGGCGGGCUAGGCCAGUGUCUAUGCUGGUGCCUCAAUAGGUUUAGGCGCCCUUUCUUAAUUCUCAAACGCCUAGGAAUUAAUCGGGACGGUAGUCAGUCGCCUAGCGCCUAAGCCCAGGCGGGGAUUUUUAAAAUAGUGGUCGAAAUUAAUACAUCAUCAAACUGAGCAAAAAUAAUAUUUAGGAGUGGGCACAGUUUGGUGCAAUUCGUGUGUGGGGUAAAACUGAAACCGAAAUUUUCGGUUCGACAGUGAGAACUAAACCAUUCUGUUUUAGUUUAGUUCCAUUUUAAUUUAAAUUUGGGCCUAACUUAUAGGCCCGUAAAAUAUUUGGGUUUACCUUAUAGGCCUAUUCAAUUUAGGGUUCUCAACUUUUUUUUUUAAUUUUUUUUUUAUAGUUUUUUUUUUUUGUUUUUUUUUGUUUUGGCCUCCAAAAUGAAUGGGAAGAACAGCUUACGGUAAGUAAACCAAAAGUGAUAACCACCCUACUAAAAUUCAAGAAAAUCUCUUUUGGGUUUGUUUCCAAAUCAAAGGAGAAAAACAAAUCCGAGCAACAAAUAACCACAAUAAUAAAAUUCAAGUAUCCAAACCUAUAUAUGGACUCCACCAAAUAACUAUUGCACCCCAAUACCUAAUUUGCUAAUUAAAUUAAGUUUUUUUUUAUAUAUAUAUUAUGAGGUUUGGUUCUAAAUACUAUGAAUUGGAACCAAAUAGUUAUUUUAGCUUUCUAGUUUCAAAUUGAGAUCGUUUCAAGACCGCAAAAACUGUUUGGUGCAUGUUCAAUUGAUCCCUAUUUCAGUUUUGGUUUU
rnacentral:lncRNA from 1 species